rnacentral:lncRNA from 1 species
AUAAAAUAAGCAAAACUUCAUAAAAAUCACCUUAAUAAUUUUAACAAUAUUUAUCACCUUUAUUAUAAUUCACAAUAAUAAUCGACCAGGUCGUUCCCAAGAAAGAGGGGGCUUUUUAAUAAGAAUUUCUCCCUAUUGGCGCGCAAUUAGGUGACCAAACCUCUCAUUGACAGAACUUCUAGACAUCGUUAAUAUUACA